AUUUGCUUGCAUCCUCUCUCCAGCAACCUCCCAUUAUCAAACCAAGCAGCCCUGAAGCGUGAGAGAUCUGCACAGGGCUGGCGACGAACGAGCAGCAGUAUCGUUGCUCUUUCACCAAAGAUCGAAUUUGGGUGUUGUUAAGUUUCCUAUUCAUCCGAUCUGCAAGAUCAUGGCAGAGUCGCUGCUUCUCCCUCUAGUGCGCGGCGUGGCUGGGAAGGCCACAGACGCACUCGUCGAGACGGUGACCCGCAUGUGUGGCCUCGACGACGACCGCCAAGCGCUCGAGCGGUGUCUACUAGCCGUCGAGUGCAAGCUGGCCAACGCUGAGGAGAUGAGCGAGACAAAUCCCUAUGUCAAGAGCUGGAUGAAGGAGCUCAAGUCCGUCGCCUACCAGGCCGACGACGUGCUCGACGACUUCCAGUACGAGGCGCUGCGCCGCCAGUCUAAGAUUGGCAAGUCUACUACCCGAAAGGUGCUCAGCUACAUCACGCGCCACAGCCCGCUGCUCUUCCGCUUUGAAAUGAGCAGGAAACUCAAGAACGUCCUCAAGAAGAUCAAUAAGUUGGUUAAGGAGAUGAACACGUUUGGCUUGGAGAGUUCUGUCCGUAGGGAGGAGCGGCAACAUCCUUGGCGGCAGACGCACUCAAAACUGGACGAGACUACCCAGAUCUUUGGAAGAGAUGAUGAUAAGGAGGUGGUGGUGAAGUUACUGCUGGACCAGCAGGAUCAGCGGAGAGUGCAGGUGCUGCCCAUCAUUGGGAUGGGAGGUCUUGGCAAGACGACUCUUGCUAAGAUGGUCUAUAAUGACCAAGGGGUCCAGCAACAUUUCGAGUUGAAGAUGUGGCACUGUGUGUCCGACAACUUUGAUUUCAUUGCUCUCUUGAAAUCCAUCAUUGAGUUGGCUGUAAGUGGAAGAUGUGACAUGCCUGACACGAUUGAGAUGUUGCAAAAGAAACUUGAGCAAGUCAUUGGCCAAAAAAGGUUUAUGCUCGUGCUUGAUGAUGUGUGGAAUGAAGAUGAGAGGAACUGGGAGGAUGUCCUGAAGCCUCUUUUGUGUUCUGUUGGUGGACCAGGAAGCGUAAUUAUUGUCACAACUCGAAGCCAGAAAGUGGCCUCUAUAAUGCAGACCCUUCGACCCCAUAAGCUAGCAUGUUUGAGUGAACAAGAUUCAUGGGAAUUGUUUGCACAGAAAGCAUAUAGCAACGGUGUAGAGCAGGAGCAAGCAGAGUUGGUCAGCAUUGGCAGACGUAUUGUCAACAAAUGCGGGGGGCUGCCUCUUGCUCUCAAGACAAUGGGUGGAUUGCUAAGUUCAUAUCAACAAGUACAAGAAUGGAAGGCGAUCGAAGAAAAUGAUAUUGGGGAUAGAGUUAGAGGCAAAGAUGAGAUCAUGUCUAUAUUAAAGUUGAGCUACAAACACCUGUCAUCUGAAAUGAAGCAAUGUUUUACAUUUUUAGCAGUUUUCCCCAAGGACUAUGUGAUAGACAAGGAUAGGUUGAUCCAACUAUGGAUGGCAAAUGGUUUUAUUCAAGAGAAGGGAACAAAGGAUUUGACACUAAGAGGAGAAUUCAUUUUCAAUGAGUUGGUUUGGAGGUCCUUCCUCCAAGAUAAGCAGGAGUGCACACACUAUUAUGGUGUAAAAGGAUAUGUGACUAUUAACUGUAAAAUGCAUGAUUUAAUGCAUGAUCUAGCAAAAGAUGUCACAGAUGAAUGUGCAAGUAUAGAAGAACUGACUCAGAAGAAAUCAUUGUUAAAAGAUGUUUGUCACAUGCAAAUGUCAAAGGCUGAAUUGGAACAAAUCAGUGGGUUGGGCAAAGGCAGAACAAACCUCCGCACUUUGUUAGCUCCUACAGAAUCACACAAGGAUUUUGAAGAGUUGCUGCAAGUAUCGACAUCAUUAAGAGCAUUGCAUUGCUCACCUUCUUCAAUUGUCAUUUGCAAGGCUAUAAAUGCAAAACAUUUACGGUAUCUUGACCUCUCUGGGUCUAACAUUGCUGCAUUGCCAAAUUCAAUAUGCGUGUUGUAUAACUUGCAAACAUUGAGGCUGAUAGAUUGCAGGAAGUUGCAGCAGUUACCAGAAGACAUGGCAAGACUGAGAAAGCUCAUCCAUCUUCAUCUUUCUGGUUGUGAUCGUCUUGAAAGCAUGUUUCCAAACUUUGGUCUACUGAACAACCUUCACAUAUUAACAACAUUUGUUGUGGGUACUGGAGAUGGCCUUGGGAUAGAGCAGCUCAAAGAUUUGCAACACCUUAGCAAUAGGUUGGAACUGUUCAAUUUGAGCAAGAUAAAGAGUGGGAGAAAUGCAAAAAAAGCCAAUCUAGGUCAGAAGAAAAAUCUAAGUGAGUUGUUGUUCUCUUGGGACCAAGAAAUAGAUGAUGAGCCUAGAGACGUGGAAGAAGUGCUUCAGUGUUUAGAACCUCAUAGUAAUAUCCAAAAACUGGAGAUACGUGGAUAUCAUGGCCUAGAAAUAUCACAAUGGAUGAGAAAGCCUCAGAUGUUUGACUGCUUGAGAGAACUUGAAAUAUCUGAUUGCCCAAAAUGCAAGAGUAUCCCUUUAAUAUGGCUCUCGGUCUCUCUAGAAAUUUUGGUCUUACAGAAAAUGGAUAACCUGACAACAUUAUGUAAUAACAUUGAUGUGGAAGCUGGAGGAUGCAUUACCCCUCUGCAAAUUUUCCCAAGGUUGAAGAAGAUGAGGUUGAUUGAAUUACAAAGCCUGGAGAAAUGGGCAGAAAAUAGUGUAGGAGAGCCUCAGAUGUUUAACUGUUUGGAAGAACUUGAAAUGUCCGACUGCCCAAGAUGCGAGAGUAUACCUGUCGUAUGGUCAUCGGUCUCUCUGGAGAUUUUGUGCUUGGAGAAGAUGGAUAACCUGAAAACAUUAUGUAAUAACCUUGAUGUCAAAGCCAGAGGAUGCAUUACCCCUAUGCAAAUUUUCCCUAGGUUGAAGAAGAUGAGAUUAAUCGAGUUAGGAAGCCUGGAGAUAUGGGCAGAAAAUAGUGUGGGAGAGCGUAGUGAUAACCUGCUAACAUUCCCGGUGCUUGAAGAGCUAGAGAUCAAAAAUUGCCCCAAGCUUGCAAGCAUUCCAGUGAUCCCCGUUGUUAGCAACUUGAGAAUAGUUGGGGUUCACAGUACUGCAGUCGGUUCAGUUUUUAUGAGCAUCCGUUUAGGCUCCUGGCCAUUUCUCGCCAGCUUAACUCUUUGGUCUCCGGAAGACAUACCCAUGUUGCCUCUAAACACCCAGCAAGGCCAAAGUCAAAGACCUCUUGAAAAACUUAAGCGUCUGACUCUAGAAGGGCCCAACAGCUUGGUCAGAAGCUCCGGAUUGUCCAGUUUACACCUUAUAAUUUGGAAAUGCUUUCAGUUCGUGGAACAACUGAGGUUUAUUGGAUGCAGCGAUCUUGUCCGCUGGCCAUCAGAGGAGCUCCGGUGCUUGGAACACCUCCGUGUUCUGUGGAUCUAUCAUUGUGACAACCUGGAGGGGAACACUUCAUCGUCUGAUGAGGAGACCCUUCCGCUCUCCUUAGAGCAUUUGAUGAUUCGGGGCUGCAAAAGUCUAGCCAAGCUGCCUUGGAACCUCGGAAAUCUGACCAAGCUGAAGAGUCUCGAUGUGUCUGGCUGCAGUGGCCUGAAAGCUCUCUCUAAUGGGAUGUGUGGCCUCACUUCUCUUAGGAAAUUGUUGAUUUUGGGUUGUCCAGCUUUGGAGGUAUUGCCGCAUGGUCUCCUGGAGCGGUUGCCAGCCCUCGAAGAAUUAAAGAUAGAUGAUUGCCCCAGGUUGGGAAGACGAUGCAGAGAAGGUGGGGAGUAUUUCCACUUGCUCUCCUCUGUCCCAAGUAAAUAUAUUUUGUGAUGACGGCGUCAUGAAAAUCCAGAAGAGCUGCGAAGUAAGUCAGCAUACGCGUGAGUCCCAUGCUGCAGGUGGGAAUCUCCGAAAACCUCCACACCAUGAAGGAGACAAUGGUCGAUCCGCCGUCCAUCUCGGCAGGGCGCAGAUGGGAAGAGAGGAAGGUUCCGCGGCUUGAUGCAGCCGCCGUACUGCUUGGCAGAGCGCACGCCUGGAACGGCGGCGGCGUGUAGGAGAGGGGGCGAGAUUUGGCUGCCCUACGCAGUGGGCAGCAUCCGAGGUCCCGAUGGACCAACUAGCAGAAGCAGAGAGUUGGUGUCGGUGGGUUGGAAGCCCCCUGGAAUGGGAUUAGCGGGCCCAAUUGUCAUUACUUCUCUCUCUUUGCGGAGGCCCGAAGGAGUAGUAUUUCAUUUUUAUCAAAAAGAAGAAGCAGAUAGUAGUAGUAUUUCUUACAUGGUUGCUUUAAUCUGUACAGCAAAAGCAGGUGUGACACCAAUAGUCCAAUACUAUGUUUCUACCAAUGUAAGUUAAUCCCAAGUAAAAUUGUGCGGCUUGGCUUGAUAGUUAUCCCU